rnacentral:misc_RNA from 1 species
UCUCCGUUGGUGAACCAGCGGAGGGAUCAUUACCGAAGUUACCUUCAAAACCCACUGUGAACCUUACCUCUUGCCGCGUUGUCUCGGCGGGAGGCGGUGUGCGUCGCGCGCCCUAGCGGGCCGCGCCGCUCCCGUCCCCGCCGGCAGCGCCAAACUCUAAAUGCACAGCGGACUGUACGUUCUGACUUACAAAAAAAAACAAGUUAAAACUUUCAACAACGGAUCUCUUGGUUCUG